rnacentral:rRNA from 1 species
GCCAGACUCCUACGGGAGGCAGCAGUGAGGAAUAUUGGUCAAUGGGCGCGAGCCUGAACCAGCCAAGUCGCGUGAGGGAAGACGGUCCUAUGGAUUGUAAACCUCUUUUGUCGGGGAGCAAAAGACGCCACGCGUGGCGUUCCGAGAGUACCCGAAGAAAAAGCAUCGGCUAACUACGUGCCAGCAGCCGCGGUAAUACGUAGGUGACAAGCGUUGUCCGGAUUUACUGGGUGUAAAGGGCGCGUAGGCGGGAUAGCAAGUCAGUCGUGAAAUGCCGAGGCUUAACCUCGGAGCUGCGAUUGAAACUGUUAUUCUUGAGUAUCGGAGAGGAAAGCGGAAUUCCUAGUGUAGCGGUGAAAUGCGUAGAUAUUAGGAGGAACACCAGUGGCGAAGGCGGCUUUCUGGACGACAACUGACGCUGAGGCGCGAAAGUGUGGGGAGCAAACAGGAUUAGAUACCCCUGUA